rnacentral:lncRNA from 1 species
ACACUUCUUUCGAAAUCUCUCUCUAUCUCUAAAAAUGAAGCUCUCUAUGCGUUUGAUCUCAGCUGUUCUAAUCAUGUUCAUGGUAUUCGUCGCCACUGGUUCGUUUCUCAUAACCUAAUAUCUAAUUUGCACACAUAUGACAUAUACCCAUGUCUUAUUUAUUCGUCAUUUUGUUAUAAUAACAUAUAGUUCCAUUUUUUUAAAUAAAAUUAUAUAUUUAGGAGUUUCUAUCGUUUAAUCUUGUGAAUGCUCAUCUAAUAAGUUUUUUUUUUUAUUCAGUGCAAAUUUAAUUAUAGUUCACUAUAGCCACUUGGAAAGUUAAUAAAUAUGCAUCAAGCAUGAGACACAUGAAAGUAUGAAACAAAGCUAUGGUCUAAACCAAGUGUUCUUUUUGUGUUUUUGUUUUCUCUAGGGAUGGGUCCAGUCACUGUGGAGGCACGUACGUGUGAGUCACAGAGCCAUAGGUUCAAGGGUACAUGCGUGAGAGAAUCAAACUGCGCCAACGUGUGCCACAACGAAGGCUUUAUCGGAGGUAACUGCCGUGGAUUCCGUCGUCGUUGUUUCUGCACCAGGCAUUGCUGAUCUAUCCAUUCUCAUAACUCAAGCUUUGAUCCAUCGUCGUGUGUCACUUCUUUCUUAUCUAAUCUUCCGUACAGUACUAUGAAGUACCGUACAUGAGUGUGUUCUUGGUGUUUUGUGUGUUUCCUAUUUUAAUGUAAUGUUAAAUCAACUAAUGGCUUUUUGAGCCUUUGACUAAUAAUAAUCAAAAUCUAUGUUCCGAUAACAAAGCUCUUUCCGUUCGAAAAUUAUUUAACGCAAUACUUCAUGUCUCACCUUAAAGAGAAUUAUGAUGGAAUUAAAAAAAAAUGAACAUCAAUCUAAGGAAUGCAUUUUUUUUUUUUACAUUGAAGAGUUUGUUUGCGAUGGCAUGGACUUUUCUCGACGUGUGGGGCAGUAUCAAUAGUAUUACCCAAGAUUAAACACCUUCAAAGAGACUGAAUAGUGAAUAUCCUCUAAAUAUCGGGUAUAGAAUACCAAAUUUUACUUCUUGGAUGUAAUUGGUGGAGUAAUAAAGUAGCAAGGAAAGAAUAUAAAAGUGUAAAUCUUUUUAUAUAAAUACACUAUAUAAAGUUAAUAUUUUUUUUAUUUUUUGCUACAGUGAGUAUAUAAAAUACCACAUAUUAUAGUUUAUACAACCAGUAAUGUUUUCAUGUAGAUACGAUAAAAGAACUCUAGUGUCCUUUACUACACCACUUGUUAUUACUUUUGACGUGGUCACUAUUAUUGUGGACUCCCCAACUCCCAAUAUCUGACUAACUCAAAUCUUUUAACCUUUUCUCUAUACGUAUUUUUUUUCUGUUUAUUUUCUGAAAUCAAAAUUUGGUUUUAUUAAUUCUAGAAUGAGUUGUCGAAACAGUAGGAUUUCUCUGCCUGUCGUGUCAAUUGCAUUAAGGACCAAAAAUAACGUUUAUGACUAGCGUCGGCCGUCGGUAAAGAAAAUAAAUCGACAAACUAGUAAACAAAGAAAAUGUGGAAAAAGCAUUGAAAAAGAAGAAAAUUCGACAAAUGUCACGACUUUGGUUAAAGUUAAAAGUGAAACUCCAAAAAUGAAGAUGAUAUUUAUCCAAAAAAUAUCUAAAAAAUACUUUAAAAUGCAAUUAUCUAAUAUACUAAUCAAAUAUCUCGAUACCUCUUUAGUCUCUUUAUAUAGUGCCAUCUUCAUCCUAAGUAACUUACACACAUAAACACUUCACUUUCCAAAUUUCGGUCUCCCUCAACUUUUCUCUCUUUCUUUUAAAAUGAAGCUCUCUAUGCGUUUGAUCUCAGCCUUUCUUCUCUUGGUGAUGAUAUUUGUUGCCACAGGUUCGUUUAAUUACUGGUUACCUAAUAUCUAACUUUGCACACGACCUAUAUACACGACCCAUCACCCAUGCCUUCUUUUAUUUGUCAUUUGGUUAAUACUAACAUAUAUAUUUAUAGUUAUGGUUUCUAUCGAUUGUUCUUGUUUUUCUAUCGAUUGUUCUUGUUAAUAUGCUCAUAUAUUAAGUGGUUUUUAUCGAUUGUUCUUUCCAUUUAUACGGUUUUAAUUAUAGUUGGCCAUAUAUAUGGAUGUCUUAACUAGCAAUAAUACUCAAAUUAUUUCAUAAACUUUGAAAAUUAACUACUCAUUCCGUUUCGUUUUAGUUGUCGUUUAAGUUUUUUUCACACAAAUUAAGAAAAGUAUUAAAUUUUUUGUUUUACACUUUAUUAAUAUAUUCUAUAAAUUUUUUCAUUGGCCAAAACAUUCAAACAGUAGGGAUAAUGAUAAACAGUAGGGAUAAUAAUAGAAUUUUUACCAAACAUUUGCAUUGAAAACCUAAAAUGACAAUUAUUACGAAACAAAAUUUAAGUCUUAAAACGACAACUAAAACGAAACGGAGAGAGUAAUAAGUAUGCAUCAUGCAAUCUCAUGAGAACAUGAGACAAAGCUAUCUAGUCUUAAAACAAGUUUUUUUGUUUCUUCUCUAGGGAUGGGUCCAGUCACUGUUGAGGCACGCACGUGUGCGUCACAGAGCCAAAGAUUCAAGGGUAAAUGCGUGAGCGACACAAACUGUGCAAACGUGUGUCACAACGAAGGCUUCCCCGGAGGUGAUUGCCGUGGAUUCCGUCGUCGUUGCUUCUGCACCAGAAAUUGCUGAUCCAUCAAUCGAUUCUCAUGACUCAAUCUUCGAUCCAUUGUCUUUUGUUACUUCUUUCUGUCGUCUAAUAUUCCUUACGAUACCAUAUCGUAACGUGCAUGUGUGUAAUGUGUUCUUGAAUAAGUCUUUUUUUUUUUUUUUUUUUUUUUUUUUUUUUGAAUAAGACUUUGGUUUGUGUGUUUCCAGUUUUAAUGUAACGUUAAAUCAACUAGUAAUGUUUUUUUUUUGUAAUAAAGGAUUCGAAUAUAUGUUCGGUGCAUGCAAGAUUUUGUUUGUUAAAAUUCUUUACAUGCAAGUUAAAUACAUUAAAAGUUAAAUACAUUGUUGCUAAUAUGCCAGAAUUUUCAUGCAAUUAAGUUCACCAUAUAAUUAAGUCUAAAAUGUUUUUCU